GACGUAGGGAGCGAGCGUUGUCCGGAUUCAUUGGGCGUAAAGCGCGCGUAGGCGGUUUGGUAAGUCGGAUGUGAAAUCCCGAGGCUCAACCUCGGGACUGCAUCCGAUACUGCCCGACUAGAGGUAGGUAGGGGAGAUCGGAAUUCCUGGUGUAGCGGUGAAAUGCGUAGAUAUCUGGAGGAACACCGGUGGCGAAGGCGGCAUCCUGGACCGACAUUGACGCUGAGGAGCGAAAGCCAGGGGAGCAAACGGG
rnacentral:rRNA from 1 species